rnacentral:tRNA from 2 species
AUAGCGCAGUCUGGUAGCGCACCUGCUUUGGGAGCAGGUGGUCGCAGGUUCAAAUCCUGCU